rnacentral:misc_RNA from 1 species
AACAUCGCGCACCUGCGGGAACCUGCGGAAGGAUCAUUACCGAGUGAGGGCCCUCCGGGUCCAACCUCCCACCCGUGUUUAACGAACCUUAUUGCUUCGGCGGGCCCGCCUCACGGCCGCCGGGGGGCACCCCGCCCCCGGGCCCGCGCCCGCCGAAGACACCUGUGAACGCUGUCUGAAGUUGCAGUCUGAGACACUAGCUCAAUCAGUUAAAACUUUUAACAACGGAUCUCAGAUCGG